AAAAGAAAACGUUUUGUUCCAAUCUUUCCCCCCUUGCUCGUCUAGGUAAGAGGGAAACCCCCUUUCCCCGCAGCCCGACCUGGAAAGAGGAGGCGGCGACCAAGGGAGGCCAUCGACGGCGGCCCCAGAUUUGGUUGAAGAUUGGAUCAUUGCGAGGCAGAUAUAAGGGAUUCAAGAAUGAGUGCCAACAUUUUGACGAAACACCGAUUAAUUUCCGGGAUUCCAUAGCAACUAGUCGUCGUCAGGCCUCCCAUACUACACCAUCAUCCUCCACUCUAGCCCUGCCCUCGUUCCGAGGUUCGCGAAAGGAGCCUUAGGGGCCUCCUCAAUCGAUGGCACCAGGCGAAUUGGAGAGGCGGCGACGGAGGAUGUGGCUAGUGCGGGCGAAAAGGAUAGACGACGUGGUAUUAUGCUGGAUGAAGUGCAUGCAGGAGUUCAUGGAGAAGGAGGCUAUCGCACGAGAUAACCCUAGCUUUCAGGUGGAUGUAUCGAUGCACAAAAGGUGUGUGGAUAGAGGAUUGAGGAAUGUAGCAGACGUCAUCUUCUCAGAGGCCACCAAUGAAGAGCGCGCCCGGAUGCCGACUCGGAGUAGACCAGAAUUGGUCCUUGAAUGGGCGUUGCAAGAGGUCAAAUCUCCGAUCACGAUUCAGAGAGCCCGAUGGGGAUGUGUCGUGGGGAUAAUGCCACCGAGAAUUCCCCCACCACCACCGGACUCUACUCCACCUUUAGCAGUCGCCUUGCCAUCCACUUGAACAGUGGAUCUUUGGGGGACAACAGGUUGUGCUGCUGGUGGCAUCAACAAGCGGCGGGCGGAAAAUAAUGUUGAACUUGUUCAUGAAUGUGGUACUAGUAAUACUAAGGAUAGUGCCAUUAUGUUAUAAAGCUACUGUGGUAUGAUUGAACUCUAGUUUGAUUUGGACUUGUUCAUUAUAUAUCUGUUCUUAGCAGAACUGAACUCUACUUUGGU